rnacentral:rRNA from 1 species
AGUGAACGCUGGCGGUAGGCCUAACACAUGCAAGUCGAACGGCAGCACAGUAAGAGCUUGCUCUUACGGGUGGCGAGUGGCGGACGGGUGAGGAAUACAUCGGAAUCUACUUUUUCGUGGGGGAUAACGUAGGGAAACUUACGCUAAUACCGCGUACGACCUACGGGUGAAAGCAGGGGAUCUUCGGACCUUGCGCGAUUGAAUGAGCCGAUGUCGGAUUAGCUAGUUGGCGGGGUAAAGGCCCACCAAGGCGACGAUCCGUAGCUGGUCUGAGGGGAUGAUAAGCCACACUGGAACUGAGACACGGUCCAGACUCCUACGGGAGGCAGCAGUGGGGAAUAUUGGACAAUGGGCGCAAGCCUGAUCCAGCCAUACCGCGUGGGUGAAGAAGGCCUUCGGGUUGUAAAGCCCUUUUGUUGGGAAAGAAAAGCAGCAGGUUAAUACCCCGCUGUUCUGACGGUACCCAAAGAAUAAGCACCGGCUAACUUAGUG